CUUUGACCUCGGAUCAGGUAGGGAUACCCGCUGAACUUAAGCAUAUCAUA
rnacentral:rRNA from 1 species